rnacentral:rRNA from 1 species
UACAGAGGGGGCAAGCGCUGUUCGGAAUUACUGGGCGUAAAGGGCGCGUAGGCGGCCUGUUAAGUCGAACGUGAAAUCCCCGGGCUCAACCCGGGAACUGCGUCCGAUACUGGCAGGCUUGAAUCCGGGAGAGGGAUGCGGAAUUCCAGGUGUAGCGGUGAAAUGCGUAGAUAUCUGGAGGAACACCGGUGGCGAAGGCGGCAUCCUGGACCGGCAUUGACGCUGAGGCGCGAAAGCCAGGGGAGCAAACGGG